UACGGAGGGUGCAAGCGUUAAUCGGAAUUACUGGGCGUAAAGCGUGCGUAGGCGGUUCGUUAAGUCUGUUGUGAAAGCCCCGGGCUCAACCUGGGAAUGGCAAUGGAUACUGGCGAGCUAGAGUGUGUCAGAGGAUGGUGGAAUUCCCGGUGUAGCGGUGAAAUGCGUAGAGAUCGGGAGGAACAUCAGUGGCGAAGGCGGCCAUCUGGGACAACACUGACGCUGAGGCACGAAAGCGUGGGGAGC
rnacentral:rRNA from 1 species